rnacentral:rRNA from 1 species
UACAGAGGUCCCAAGCGUUGUUCGGAUUCAUUGGGCGUAAAGGGUGCGUAGGUGGCGUCGUAAGUCGGGUGUGAAAUCUCGGGGCUUAACUCCGAAACUGCAUUCGAUACUGCGGUGCUUGAGGACUGGAGAGGAGACUGGAAUUUACGGUGUAGCAGUGAAAUGCGUAGAGAUCGUAAGGAAGACCAGUGGCGAAGGCGGGUCUCUGGACAGCUCCUGACACUGAGGCACGAAGGCCAGGGGAGCAAACGGG